UGAAAUUUGGAACCGAGGUAGCUUGCGUCCCUGUAAUUGACAUAGGCAUUUUAUCCCGGAAAAUCAAACAUUCCCACGGGAUUUCGAAGAACCUAAAUCCACGCGGACGAAGUCGCGGGCAUCAUCUAGUCAUUUAUAUAGAUUUGAAGUAAUGGACUAUUAUUUUAUGGUAUUGGUAGACCUAUAAUUUAAUUUUCGUUAAGGAAACGGGCUAUAAUAUCAUAUAUUGUUAUACACAAAACUAUAGUUAAAAACUUAUUUAAUUUAACAAAAUGAUGUUCUCUUAACUAAGUAAAUGAACAAAAACAGUGCUAACUUUUUCAUACUGAUUCUCUGCAGAAAUGCUCUUUAGACCUAAAAGUUCGAGUUCAUAGUUUUGUGUAGAACAUUCGGUUAUUGAUUUAAACUGAUGUUAUAAAUAAAGUUAUUUAUUCCUGAAA